rnacentral:rRNA from 1 species
UGAGGAAUAUUCGGCAAUGGGCGCAAGCCUGACCGAGCCAUGCCGCGUGAGUGAUGAAGGCCUUAGGGUUGUAAAGCUCUUUCACCGGUGAGGAUAAUGACGGUAACCGGAGAAGAAGCCCCGGCUAACUUCGUGCCAGCAGCCGCGGUAAUACGAAGGGGGCUAGCGUUGUUCGGAAUUACUGGGCGUAAAGCGCACGUAGGCGGAUUGUUUAGUCAGAGGUGAAAUCCCGGGGCUCAACCCCGGAACUCCCUUUGAUACUGGCAAUCUCGAGUCCGAGAGAGGUGAGUGGAAUUCCGAGUGUAGAGGUGAAAUUCGUAGAUAUUCGGAGGAACACCAGUGGCGAAGGCGGCUCACUGGAUCGGUACUGACGCUGAGGUGCGAAAGCGUGGGGAGCAAACAGGAUUAGAUACCCGCGUAGUCC